AGGUCACUGACAUUAGAUACCCCUGUAGUCCCAGCCGUAAACAAUGUGCGUUAGGUGUGUCGGUAACCACGUGUUACUGAUGCGCCGAAGAGAAAUCGUGAAACGCACCACCUGGGAAGUACGGUCGCAAGGCUGAAACUUAAAGGAAUUGGCGGGGGAGCACCACAACAGGUGGAGCCUGCGGUUUAAUUGGAUUCAACGCCGGACAUCUCACCGGAUAAGACAGCUGAAUGAUUGUCAAUCUGAAGGUUUUACAUGACUAGCUG
rnacentral:rRNA from 1 species